rnacentral:rRNA from 1 species
UACAGAGGUCUCAAGCGUUGUUCGGAUUCAUUGGGCGUAAAGGGUGUGUAGGUGGCGCCGUAAGUCGGGUGUGAAAUUUCGGAGCUUAACUCCGAAACUGCAUUCGAUACUGCGGUGCUUGAGGACUGGAGAGGAGACUGGAAUUCAUGGUGUAGCAGUGAAAUGCGUAGAGAUCAUGAGGAAGACCAGUAGCGAAGGCGGGUCUCUGGACAGUUCCUGACACUGAGACACGAAGGCCAGGGGAGCAAACGGG